CCAACGUGGAUAUCCUGGCUAGAUGAGCCCAGGCUCUGUCCAGGUGGCGAAAGGGAGCGUAGGGCCCUUGCCCUAAGACGUACAGUCCCAUUCCACAACGUUGGAUAUCAAGCUGGGCCUUGUGUCUGCACCUGCAUAUUCCUAAACCUUCUCAGAGUCUUUGGACUGUGACUGAGGAGACAAACCAUGCAGGAAACAACU
ensembl:snoRNA SNORA73 Small nucleolar RNA SNORA73 family